GACGAACGCUGGCGGCGUGCUUAACACAUGCGAGUCGAACGGUGAUGCUCCAGCUUGCUGGAGUGGAUCAGUGGCGAACGGGUGAGUAACACGUGAGCAACCUGCCCCAGACUCUGGAAUAAGCGCUGGAAACGGCGUCUAAUACUGGAUACGAAACUGGCCCGCAUGGGCAUGGUUUGGAAAGUUUUUCGGUUUGGGAUGGGCUCGCGGCCUAUCAGCUUGUUGGUGAGGUAAUGGCUCACCAAGGCGACGACGGGUAGCCGGCCUGAGAGGGCGACCGGCCACACUGGGACUGAGACACGGCCCAGACUCCUACGGGAGGCAGCAGUGGGGAAUAUUGCACAAUGGGCGAAAGCCUGAUGCAGCGACGCCGCGUGAGGGAUGACGGCCUUCGGGUUGUAAACCUCUUUCAGCGGGGAAGAAGCGAAAGUGACGGUACCUGCAGAAGAAGCACCGGCUAACUACGUG
rnacentral:rRNA from 1 species